rnacentral:lncRNA from 1 species
UGCCCGCGAACCAUCAACGCUUCGUGACUUUUCUGUAACACCCAUGUUAGCUUUGCCCUGCAAACUGAAUUAAUUUAUUCUGUUGGUACCGGUUGUUUUAUGAAUAAUAUGUUAUUAAUCCUCAUUGUGGAGCUACUAUACCGCUUUACCCCCCAAUUAACACAAGCGCGUUCAUUAGAUGAAUGCUCUCAACAUUAUCCAUUAUAAACAGGACAACUCAUGCUGCUUGAUAAAAUCGUGACACCAUAGCAUGUACAAGCCUCAUGUCUAUUAUAGCUCGUACAUGCAAAUUUCCUUUCCCUGUAUUGUGUAGACUAAAGGACUUGUAGUUGCUCACUUUCCCUGCAUGCAUACCAUCUAUUAGUGGUUCAGCUGCUAGAUUGUCAUUAGUGCGUUUCCAGUCUACCGAAUGGUGAUACUUAUGUGCUGAUAUUCCCCUCAAGGAGAAGUUGGUAGUCAUUACUGCAUAAUGCAUUUCAGUUAUGUUGCAGAAAUCCAUAUAUACGAAGUUACUACAUUACGGGGACUAGAGAGUAGAGAAGAUCGUCGAUUUUCCCUUUUUUACUGAAGAGAGAGCUGGUUCUUACAUGUUUCCAUGAUGUUUCUUAUAGGGCACCGGUGGCAUCACUAUCAAGAAGACCGGCAUGGCCCUGAUUCUUGGUAUCUACGAUGAGCCCAUGACUCCUGGCCAGUGCAAUUUGGUCGUGGAGAGGCUCGGCGACUACCUGGUCGAGCAGGGUUUCUAAGCCCGCCCUGAUAUGAUGUUAUUUUGGUCGUCUGGGACUAAGUUUGCUCUACUGUGGGCUUUGCAUCCAUCUGCUUGGCGUACCGCAUGAUAUAUGCAGUGAAUAAUUUUAGCUUGGGGUUUGUCGGUUGGUGACGUGUCGAAGGGAAAAAAAGGAUUUUACUAUGUUUUCUUUUUAAUGUUUGGCAUCGCGUCGUAUCAAACUCAGCCGCUCUUUCGCUGAGUAAUGUACAUUUGCCUCGUCAUGGUAACUUGUGGGUUCUGCUGCUGCUUUAUUGAAGAUGAUUGCAUUUUUACUGACGUGCUUGCCUGGUACUACGUUGUGCCGUUGCAUUACAGUUGUCUGCCAGCAAGCGUCAAUUUUCACAUACUUUUAUAGAAGAAGCCCAUCGGAUGAGGCACCAGAAAUG